rnacentral:rRNA from 1 species
GACGAAGGUGGCGAGCGUUGUUCGGAAUCACUGGGCAUAAAGCGCACGUAGGCGGCUAGGUAAGUCGGAUGUGAAAUACCUCGGCUCAACCGAGGAACUGCGUCCGAUACUGCCUGGCUUGAGGUCCGGAGGGGAGAGUGGAAUUCCCGGUGGAGCGGUGAAAUGCGUAGAGAUCGGGAAGAACGCCGGCGGCGAAAGCGGGUUGCUGGGCCGACACUGACGCUGAUGCGCGAAAGCCAGGGGAGCGAACGGG